GUCCUGGCCCUAACCAUGAUGCUUGGUGUGGCGGGUAUCGAUCCCUGCCGUGCCGAAGCUAACGCAUUAAGCAUUCCGCCUGGGGAGUACGGUCGCAAAGGCUGAAACUCAAAGGAAUUGACGGGGGCCCCGCACAAGCGGUGGAGCAUGUGGUUCAAUUCGACGCAACGCGAAGAACCUUACCCAGGCUUGAACUGCAGAUGACAUCCUAUGAAAGUAGGCUUCCGCAAGGACAUCUGUAGAGGUGCUGCAUGGCUGUCGU
rnacentral:rRNA from 1 species